ensembl:lncRNA
CGUCGCUGCGCAGGUGGGAGCGCAAAGGAAAGCACCGAGACGUGCGAGAGGCCAGGCGCGCUCCUCUCCGCGCGGUCGGAGCCGGGGGCUGAAGACCACUCGGCAGAGAGCCCCGCGGCAUCGGGGGCACCGUACUCUUUUGUUUGUUUGUCGUCGUUGUUGUGUAUUUCCUAAAGAACAAAACACAGACCCGAAGCGUACCCCGGGGAUUAACGUGUGAGCAAAACUGCCUGCGUUUAUCGACAGCGUAUCUUAACUGAUGCCACCUCGUAGCGCUGUAAAUAAAAAGUCUGCAUAAUACCGUGAAGAUUCCAUCUUUUAGAGUACUCGGAAUCUGAUGUGUUUGAGUUCUGUCCCAGAAAACCUCUCGGAGAAUCAGACAGCUUGUGAAUGCAGCAGCUUGGAAUUCAGGUCUUCCUGCGCAGGUCCUCCCCUGCUCCUUUCCAGAGCUUUAAGGACACUGACCCUGCCUCCAAACCCAGGAGAUUUGCCUCUUAAACGCUACUGGCACAGCCGGCACGGGGAGCAGGAGGGGUUCGCAUUGACAGGAUUCCAGGCAAAAGCCGGAGUUAAAGAGCACAGCGGCCCCCUCCUCCUUGGUUCUCAUCUAUUUAAAACUGCUCUAAAAUAGAUCUUUUAAAUAGAUGAGAGACGGGAGCUUUCUGUAGCCGCAGCGUAAGGGAGCCACAUCGACAACAAAGGCUCCCGCCUCUGUGCCUCAGUGCCCUGAGCUCAAACCACUGCUCGAGGAGAAAAUGGCACCGGGGGCUCAAAAAUCCCCACGGGGCUACACUGGAGCCUGAGCUCCAGAGGUUCGGAAGGAAACUGAAGAAGAAGUAGAUCCACCUUGAAAAUAACUCAGAAAUGAGCUGCUGAGACCGCUGGCUCCUCCCUCGGCGAAUGUGUACGUCUGCGGUGUUGUCUUUAGCACCCCGAUCAGCUGAACUGCUCACUCUUCCAACGGAUGAUUACUGUCAAUCCUAAGCACGCCAAAUAUUUUUACAGUGUUUGGGGAACCAAAAAAAAAAAAAAAAAUACCUUGAAACCAGAGAAGUGGUGAGAAGACUGAGCGAGCGGCGUGACACUGAUGUGGUGCUCGGGAUUGCUGCUCUGCACAAGGCCGCUGUCCUUCAGAAGUUUUCCGGCAUGAGAUCACGACUACUUGUGUGGCUGGGUUUGUUGUACAGAGGGCAAAAGCUGCAUCAUUCCACAGCAGGAGCCGAGUGCUUUUAAGAAAUGUAGGCUUUAAGUCACGUCACGCAGAGGGCAAGGGCGGUGUAUCACCGGCUACUGUGCAGCAAAUGGUGAGGGACCGCAAGAGAAACAGAUCCACGAAGGUGGAUGCCUUGCAAACAGUGAUCCGGGUUCAGAAACGCUACUGAAAAAAUUUAUUCUCCAGAAUGGCAAGUUUGAUGAUUCCCAGCGAGGUAACUUGCAAGAGUUUUUCAAGCAGAGGUGAUUUAACAGCAACUGCAAUUGCGAAAAUGAGAAAUUAUGACUGCCAACUAUUGGAACUGAGAGAAACCCCCUCCAAUAGAGAGAAUCUGAACAAGGACCAUAUGCAAGCAACACAUGAGGAUUACCUUCUGCUCUGUUCAGGAGAAACUGGGGAGUUUUGCUUAAUUUAUGCAUAUUUUAGGCUGCUGUAAAGAGCUCUGAUCAGCAGCUUUGGAUACUGUAAGGGUAAUACAGUGACCCUCAACUUAGCCACAGAGGCUGCUCAGGAGAGGCUAUCUCUAGGUGUGAGCUGAGGAAGCACCUGCCAACAGGCUGCUUUGGUCAGGAAAAUCCUCCGGCACAUUGGAUAUACCUACCUGAUCGGAAUGCUCAGAAGGCUUCACAGCAGACAACGAAGAAAAAAAAUGCUUUGGUUAUCACAGAAGAACUUUGUGGAGGGUGAGAGGAAAGGAAGAAAUUGCCUACGAACAGACACUGGAGAGUGUUUUCUUCAGAGGACUACAGCUCCCAGAUGCUUCUGCUCCUUUCUGCUGCUCUAAGUUCUGCAGUUACUCAUCACUUGACUCUAAGCGGUUCCAGUCUGUUAUUCUGUAUCACAAUACAUGUUGAAUUGGUGGCAUCACAUUCCAUUCCAGCAAAAGUGACUGAAAACCCUUCCUGUCUCAUAGGCAGUGGGUGUUCUACUUUUCUUUCAAGUCCCCCUUUCUUUUCCCCUUCUCCCUCUGCCUCUCUUCACUCCACCAUGCAGUCACCACUUCUGCCAUCCCUGAGCAGCCAUGCAAGACAAGCACAAACUGUCUGGAGGGCUGAAAAUGGAAGACACGGCAGAUGGAAACACCAAAAUCAUCCUUUUCUGUAGGCUCUCUAAAAGCAGAGAUGCAAGAGAAUUUUGUACACUGCUUUUUUGUUUUUUUUUUUUCUUUUUUUUUCUUUUUGUGACUUGACACAGAUAUACCUGCUUGAUCUGGAUGCUCAGGAGGCUCUACAGCAGACAAUGAAGAAAACAUGUAGCUGUAGAUGUCCCUGUUUAUUGCAGGGCAGUUGGACUAGAUAACCUUUAAAGGUCCCUUCCAACGUAAACAAUUCUACGAUUGUAUGACUUCUGAGAUUUCUGAUUUUAAAACUUUAAGUGAUCUUUAUGCUGUUAGUAAAUUCUUUUAAAAUUAUAAGGAAGUAGUGCUACAUAAAGUGAAACUGUCAAAGACUUUACACAUUGAUUUGGCAAGCUAGGAUUGUCAGCAGUACUCACCUGUAUGUCACAACCAGGGACAUCUGUUAGAAAGAGAGGUGCCACCGCUGUGUUAACUCACACAUAGAUGACUGUAUCACCAAGGAGGCUGUGCAGCCUGAGACCUGCCACAGUCAUGCUGGGCUGAAGUGAGAUUUUUGUUGAAAAGAAGAUAAUGGGUGGUUCUGGGCACCACUGAGGCAUAUGCAGGGCAGUAAAGUAGACAAUGGCAAUCUUAGAGACCCAGAGAUGCAACAGACCAUCCAUCUCUGGUCAUUUCUGUCACAUGAAAAAGCAAACUUAAGUAAUCUCUGAAUUUUCUGAGCAUGGACAGCAUCUCAGAAAAAAUCACAAAUGCUGAACAAUUCUGAAGUAUGUUUUAACUCUGUUGGAUUUCUGAUCAAGAAUUGAAGUACAAAGAUACAUUGCUAGUAAGUAAAAUGCUUGCUGUUAUAUCUCUGCGUCUAUUUCGUACAUUAGAACUUGGAUUUUCCUCAAGCAUGUCUUAAAACUAGAAGGAAGGAUCCAUUUUUACUGUAAUCAAUUACUCACCUGAUUUACAUUCCAUGUUGGUUAGAAUUCAAGGAGUGAUGGAGCCCUAUGUCCCCAGCUGGCUCAUGCUUACUAUAGACAAGUGAUCACAUUUGGUCCUUGUCAGGCUUAAGAAUUCAGUUAUCCAAAAUUCAGUCAUGACAAUUCAUUUCAAACAGCAGUUAUAGCUACACUUUAAUCAGAACUGGCAAUGGAAGCAACAUAUUUUCUGACUGUACAAUUACUGAUCACUUUAGGCCUAUGUAAAGCAGGAAAAUAAAUUAAUUACAAAUUUGCUUCAGAAUACUACACCAAAGAUUUAAUAUAAACUGAUUUUUCCCAUUUGCCAGAUGUUAACAGGAUCGCUGGUGAAUUUGCACAGGUGAUUAAGCUCUUUGAGGGUAAAUCUUAUAAGAAAAAUAUUUUAAAAUAUGAUUUAUUAUUUUUAACUACUUCAAUUGAAAGCAAUAAAAUUCUCUGCUCGGUGCUUAA